rnacentral:rRNA from 1 species
UACAGAGGGUGCGAGCGUUGUCCGGAAUCACUGGGCGUAAAGGGCGCGUAGGUGGCCUGGUAAGUCGGGGGUGAAAUCUCGCGGCUCAACUGCGAGGCUGCCUCCUAAACUGUCAGGCUCGAGCAGAGUAGAGGCAGGUGGAAUUCCCGGUGUAGCGGUGGAAUGCGUAGAGAUCGGGAAGAACAUCGGUGGCGAAGGCGAGUCCCUGGACAACACCUGACACUGAGGCACGAAAGCUAGGGGAGCAAACAGG